rnacentral:rRNA from 1 species
CGAAGGGGCUAGCGUUGUUCGGAAUCACUGGGCGUAAAGCGCAUGCAGGCGGAUCGUUAAGUCGGGGGUGAAAGCCCGAGGCUCAACCUCGGAACUGCCCUCGAUACUGGCGAUCUUGAGUCCGGGAGAGGUGAGUGGAACUCCGAGUGUAGAGGUGAAAUUCGUAGAUAUUCGGAAGAACACCAGUGGCGAAGGCGGCUCACUGGCCCGGUACUGACGCUGAGAUGCGAAAGCGUGGGGAGCAAACAGGAUUAGAUACCCUGGUAGUCCGCGCCGUAAACGAUGAAUGCUAGCCGUCGGUGGGCAUGCCCUUCGGUGGCGCAGCUAACGCAAUAAGCAUUCCGCCUGGGGAGUACGGUCGCAAGACUA